rnacentral:rRNA from 1 species
AGUCAAUAGAUACCCUGGUAGUCCACGCCGUAAACGAUGAGUACUAGGUGUAGGAGGUAUCGACUCCUUCUGUGCCGCAGUUAACACAAUAAGUACUCCGCCUGGGAAGUACGGUCGCAAGAUUAAAACUCAAAGGAAUUGACGGGGGCCGCACAAGCAGCGGAGCAUGUGGUUUAAUUUCGAAGCAACGCGAAGAACCUUACCUAGACUUGACAUCUCCUGAAUAGUGUAGAGAUACAUGAAGCCCUUCGGGGUCGAGGAAGACAGGUGGUGCAUGGUUGUCGUCAGCUCGUGUCGUGAGAUGUUGGGUUAAGUCCCGCAACGAGCGCAACCCUUAUUACUAGUUGCUACCAUUAAGUUAGAGCACUCUAGUGAGACUGCCCGGGUUAA